CGUGUAGGCGGUGUAGUAAGUCGGAUGUGAAAUCUCCGGGCUCAACCCGGAAACUGCAUUCGAAACUGCUAUGCUAGAGUACCGGAGAGGGAGACGGAAUUCCUGGUGUAGGGGUGAAAUCUGUAGAUAUCAGGAGGAACACCGGUGGCGAAGGCGGUCUCCUGGCCGGAUACUGACGCUGAGGCGCGAAAGCUAGGGGAGCAAACAGGAUUAGAUACCCUGGUAGUCC
rnacentral:rRNA from 1 species